rnacentral:rRNA from 1 species
GAUGAACGCUGGCGGCGUGCUUAACACAUGCAAGUCGAACGGAAAGGCCCAAGCUUGCUUGGGUACUCGAGUGGCGAACGGGUGAGUAACACGUGGGUGAUCUGCCCUGCACUUCGGGAUAAGCCUGGGAAACUGGGUCUAAUACCGGAUAGGACCACUUCUUGGAUGUUGUGGUUGAAAGUUUUUUCGGUGUGGGAUGAGCUCGCGGCCUAUCAGCUUGUUGGUGGGGUAAUGGCCUACCAAGGCGUCGACGGGUAGCCGGCCUGAGGGGGUGUACGGCCACAUUGGGACUGAGAUACGGCCCAGACGCCGACGGGAGGCAGAAGUGGGGAAGAUUGCACAAGGGGCGCAAGCCUGAUGCAGCGACGCCGCGUGGGGGAUGACGGCCUUCGGGUUGUAAACUCCUUUCGCUAGGGACGAAGCGUUUUGUGACGGUACCUGGAGAAGAAGCACCGGCUAACUACGUG